GCCCGCGUCCCCGCCCCGCCCCGGGCCCGGCCUUGGCGGGCGGUGGACGGCCGGGCGGCGGCGGCACCAUGCGGCUCCUGUUCCUGGCGGUGCUCCGGCGGCACACGGGCAACGCCAUCACGGCCCAGCGCGUCCGUUAUCUUGUUUUCUAGGUUUAUUCCUCCACUUUUUCUCUUCUCCCUGCUGGAAGGUUCCUUGAGGAGAGGAUGCUCGGUCUCCUGAAGGGGAGGGCAGGGAGGUUUCCAUGGUGACAGACUUCCCUGGGAGCCAAUUACCAGGAAGCAGUGAGAACCAGAGGAGCUCCUCAAACGUUCUCUGUGGAAGACCCCUGCGACCCUCAAGGGACCUGGGCAGCAGCGGAGGGAGCCUCCCCUCAAAUGAGGACCAUCUAGAAGCUGCGGGUCACGUGUGUAUUCUGAAAAAUGCCUUGGACUUUGAAAGCCCAUCCGAAAUCUCCAACUUCAUCAAGGCUGAGAGCUUGGAGGCAGCUAUGGCUCUUCAUCUAUAUAGAGGGGGUAGACUUUUGCCAGGUCAUGGAAUUCCUUUUGGAAUCAUCUUUGGUGGAACUGAUUUAAAUGAAGACGUUAAGCAGGGAGAAAAAAACAAAGUGAUGGGAAAAGUCCUAGAAGAAGCCAGAUUCGCUGUCGCUUUCACGGAGUCAAUGAAGGAAACGGCACAAAGGCAGUGGCCACAUGCCAAGGAUAAGAUCUAUGUCCAGAGUCAAGGAAUUGCAACAGUGCCGAACACCACCUUUAACUGGAACACCUUCCUUCAGCGUUCAGAGAUUAACCAAAGUGCUGACAGUCUACACGUGUUUCUCCUGAUCUGUGGACUCCGACAGGUGAAAGACCCUCUCUAUCUGGUGGAUGCAUUCUCAGAAUGGCAUCAAGAGGAGCCCAGCGUUUAUAUGGUUAUCGUUGGCCCUGAAGUUGAUCCAGUGUUCACAAGGGAAGUAAAAGCCAAAGUAAAGAGGACCCCUGGGGUACGAUUGAUCGGGGAGAUGGCUCGGGAGGACCUCCACGCGGUCGUGAAGAAUUGCUUCGCGGUGGUGAACAGCUCUGUCUCUGAAGGCAUGUCAGCCGCAAUCCUGGAGGCAAUGGAUUUGGAAGUCCCUGUGUUGGCAAGGAACAUCCCUGGGAACGCGGCAGUGGUGAAGCACGAAGUUACAGGAUUGCUGUUUUCUGACCCUCAGGUCCUGAAGGAGAGAUACUUAGUACACAAUGUACUUUGUCAUCAUGUGUCAACAUCGCCUCAACACAGAGAGAGGCAUUACGCUGCGUAAGACUGUAAUCGGAUUGUUGCCGGGAUCCGUCAAUCUGCUUCUUCAUUUCCCCAGAGCUCAGCUUUGGAGGGCCAUUUGCCAUGGAUGCCAGCCGCUGGGAGGGGGUCAGUGUGUAGAAAGACAAAGGACAGCCAUAAAGCCGUGGAAGGCAAAUUUUAUAUUUACAGCCGGUGGUUACCUCAGGUCCCUCCAUCCCUCCAAGGUGGAGAAGAAGCCUCCCCCACCGCCCCCCUGUGUGUGAAUGGGCCAGGCUUCCUGCCCAACCCACCUCAUCGCACACCCCGAGUCCCAACUCUCCCCGCCCUGUACCCUCCGUGUGGACACCCAGAUUUAUCUCAUCAACCUUGAGCAGCAGACUGGAUGGGACCGUCCACAGAGGCAUCACAGAAGAACCCUGCUUUCCAGAAAAGCAAGGGGAAGGAGCAUCCCUGGGUGUUGAAUUCCUUGUGCGCGCUGCUGACCCUCCAAGACCAGCCUCUUCAAAGAAGGACACGUGUGAAGUUUGCCCAGUGGGGCUUCAGCGUAGAAUGUCACCUGGGGGUUGACACAGACGCCACAGUGGAAGAGAGGGAAUGGUGACACUGCCCUCCACUGCCGAGUGACCAAUGACUUUUGGAAAGGUGGCGAUGUGGGGCGUGGUGGGGGAGGAGUACAAAGGUGAACAUAGUGAAUUUGCUAAAAAAAAAAAAAAAAAAAAAAAUUUCUGGUCCUUCGAACCCAGUUGAAAGUCUACACCCAGGCUCCCUAGUUUACUAGUAAAGGGAUGCUCUGAACGGCUCAGAGCGCUUUUGUUUGUUUGGGUGGUGGUUCUUGGCAUGUAGUUACAAAGGUACUGGUGGCCUAUUUACCCUCCUGUUCCCUUUCAAUCCUCCUCAGCGAUUGCCUUGCUUUGCCCCAGCCUUUGGGAGAUAAUAACUCGAAACUCGAAACUCUUGCUUCCCAAGAGCUGACUCUAGGUGGCGCUAGACUCCACCUCUGCUCAUAUGCUCACAGCCAGCUGUGCUGCCCGAGGUCCAAUGACACGCUUCCUCCCAUCCAUCCCCUUGAGCCCAACCUGAGUCUCAUUUUUCUCCUGUGGUCCACAACAUUGAAUACGGCAGCUGUGUGGCUUCGAUGAAAGAAAGUGAGAUGGCAAGAGAGGGACUGUUCUCUCCUGGAGGUUCUCUGAAGUUCAGUGAUUCAGAACUCAUCUUUCUUCCAAUGUAAGAAUCUCGCCGUGCAUGAUAAACCCCUUAACACUGACAGAAACAUUGGACCCUGGAAUGUGGACAUCAAUUCCAACUCGGGGCCGUCCCAGGGGAGCCAGGGUCAUUGUCUGUGGCUCUGUGGAUAGCGUCACCCUGAUCUUGUCCCGUCUUUUUAUUUCCCCACCGGGCACACGGUUGCCCCACAUCCCCAAGUUAAAGGCCGAAAGGUGAGUGAGAACCAAUGUCUGUGAAGGCCCGGCUUACACAUCUUCAUGUAAUCCUUCCAUGUAGCCGCAUGACUCUUGGCAUCCCCCAGGGUCCAGAUCCUGGCAGACCCAUUUCACGGCAUCCUCACUGCUGGUCGCUAUGGAGUUCACGGCGGGGCAUCUGUCAUCCGUAGAGACGGUGGUGAAAGUGGUGAAUUCCACUCUUUUCCUUUUUGAGGUAGGGGACGUUGGGGGCUCGCUUUUCGGAUCACUCCCGUCCAUGAGUGCGUGUCCUGAAGAUGUGAACAGCUGUCCGUUGGUGCUGUUUGGGGAGUUUGUGCUGAGGAGAUACUUACUCUCUUCGAAAUCCAUGCCCCUGUCGAUGGCGGUGAUCUGCUCGUCCUGGGAGGAAGCCAAGUUGAUGUGAUUCUCCAACAGUUCGGCCCGGUGGCUCAACCCGACCCAGUCAUGGUAGUGACUCAUACCUUCUUGUUCCUCGAAGGGAACCUGCUUGUGCCUGUACUUUAACGCAAAGGUCACACAGUUUAUUAGGAAGACCAGAAUGGCCAGGCAGAAGACACCCAACAGGGCAUACAUCCCAAUUUCCAAGUCGCUCAGCCCUUUGGAGGCCUGCGUGAGGUCAUUCUCAUCCAUUUCCCCAUAGCUUCUGGGCAGGUCCACCUGGGCGGGGAAGCUGGUGAGGUCAAUGGAGAUGGUCUGCAAAUGGCUGUCAUCAUCCAGAAGGCUUUCCUGGCCACGGUUCUUCUGGAAGGUGGACCUUUCCGUGGUGGAGCCCCUUCCUUCCAUGAGGCCCACGGAAGAACUGCCGUAGUACCGUCCCUCUUGACGCCCCCAUUCUUGCGAGGGUCUUUUGGGUCUUCUGUCACUGACAUUAUUAUCCAGGUGACCUCCUGCCCCCGUGUGUCUGCUGUCGCUGGUGUUGGGAUUGGCAUCGUUUGGGCCAAAUUUAACUUUGACGUUGGCUGUCCCCACGGCCAACACGCUCUUCCGUUUGGAUUUCUGGCAUGACUCACAAAUAACCAUUUCGACCUUCACCAGGGCACCCUGUCCCUCGGCUUCAGCGGUGAUUAUAGGCCACUUGAAUUUGGGGUCUUGGUGGAUAGAGACCACCUUCUCAUCCAGUGACGUGGCCAUCAGGGAGAAGUCUUUCGCGUCGUAAAUAUCCAAGGGGGUGACGGAGCCGUCACUGAAUUGGACCCAACAACUGAUGGCUGCUUCCUGUUGAAGAAAAAAAGUGUUGAAAGAAAGAUGGCUUCUUUCGGCGGUGCCAGAUCUACUUCUGCAUAGUAACCAACUGCCUAUCAACGGAGAUCUACCGGUUAGUGGGGUCAUUUACAAAUGUUACACAGUUACACGCAAAGAAGAGACGGUCGGUCCAUGUACCACCUAAAGCAUCCCGUGUGUCACCGGGAGCUUGCACUCCACACUUUGGGGAACACUGAGCAGCGACACUCAGUUGCAUUUUGGAAUAUCAGCUUCCGUCCUCUGAUAAACUCAGCUGCGAGUCCUACCCUUGACGCCGAUGUCCCAAAGUCUCAUUUGUCUCUGGACACCUGUGAUGCCCUGGGGAAUGAAGCUUCUGUUCAAUUUAGACCCUGAGGAGGAAAUCCUGCUUUGGAAGAUUGUCUGUGGAAGCACCUCUGCUCCCCCAGCCCCUCAUCCAAGUUACAAGGUGCUGACUUAGACUCCCCUCUAUGAAUCCUCGACCUUCUGGGUGAAACAGGUUUCAUUCUCCCUUCCCCAGCUCUUUUGACGUAUUUCUCUUUUCAAGUUGUUGGUGAUAUUUAUGAAGAUGUAUCUCAAGACAGUUUUCCCUGGAUUCAUUAAACUCCUUUAUCAAAGCCCCACAUUUCUGUUCAAAUACCUUCUUCAGUUUCUAAAUCUGGUUGGGACACCUUGAAUGGCGCUGGGUAUGAAACAUGAGUCCCCAGAAGAAAGUGGCCAAAUGAAUUUAUAACUCAGGAGGACUCAGUGGCCAUAAAUAAGAGGGAAAAACGAAGGGUCUCAGGAGCAGAUGCCCCACUAGGACAAUUUUCAUGUUUCACGCAUGGGAAGCUGGCCCAUUCGCACUCACUGAUUUUCACAGAAAUACCUGAUUUCUGAACAGUGUUUCAUUGCGUCUUUGUAUUUAUAUGAUCAUUUUGAGUGGUUGGUGUCAAGUUGUCGUCUUGGUUCCAGUUUCCAGAUAUCAGCAUCACUUUAGCCCAUGGAUCAACUUUAAUUUAGAUCUUUCAGGCAAAAAUCAACUGUGAAGAUUACAAGUGCUUGUCUAUGGGGCGGAUGUGUUUUGUUUGACAUAAUACUUCAAAAUGGGAUGAAUGGCCAUCCUUAAAAAACAGACGAUUUCGUAUGAAAGAUAGAUUUCUAGCUAUUCUGGAAAAGUUGCAGCAUCUCUCCACACUGGGCUCCCAUUUCCUCUUGGCACCUUUUGGAGGUGAGUAUCAGCCUCCCUUUGCCACACUCCUCACCACUCCCUAUUGUCCUCCUAACACUUAGGGCCCAACUCAGUCAUCCUCUUUCACCUGAUGCCCUGGCUGCUUUCCUCACAGAGGGUACCUUCGCAGCUUUUAGAGAGCAUUGCAGCAUGUGACUCCUGAGUCCCAGUUCAAAGUAAUUUACUUUCCCCCUUGAAUAAAAUGAUCUCUUUUAUUUUUAUUUUUUUCCAGUGGCUAAAGUAUUUUAUCAGAUUAAGUACGUCAUUUGCAAAUGGUUUCAUGUGAAAAUUUAAAAGCAAAGUUAUAAAACAUUUUUAAUAAAACAGUACAGAGUUAAUAGCAAAAUUACAUUUUCUUGAUUGUACAAAUAAAAACAUUUUGUUUCUGAUAGACUGUCUGAAAAUUUUAUAAUGUAUUCUCCAACUGACAGCUGCGAUAUUCUAUUUUAAUGAGACGUCUCAGGGUUAAUUCAAUCAUUUGAUAAUAAUGGGUUCAAAAAUGCUCUCUCUUAAAUAUCAGCCCAUUUUCCAGAAUGUUUGAAAUCUUCUACAGUCCAAUAGAGUAAGCCUCACUGUUUGGCUAAUAGGAUGAUCACCUCUUCUAUAAAUGGGGCAGUCACUGAGGAACAAUAUUUGCUCUCAGACAGGAGAUAUACGCCCAGGAGUCGGAUUGCUGGAUCAUAUAGUAGCUUUAUUUUUAGAGCUUUUGUCCCAAGAUAGUAACAUCCACCAUGUCUCAGAGACAAAUAAUGUCUUGGAGUUUCAAACAUGACCCAUCCUGAGAAGCCAGUCCAUCAUUAUACCUCUUCUGUUGUUUAUCUGACAGCUUCUUUCAGUCUAUUCACUCUGAAAAUGGAUACUGUCGAAUAGAGCUACCGUAUGAUCCAGGGAUACCACUCCUGGGCAUACAUCUAGACCAAACUCUAAUUCGAUACAUGCACCCCAAUGUUCACAGCAGCACUAUUUACAAUAGCCAAGACAUGGAAGCAACCUGAAUGUCCAUCUACAGAUGAAUGAUAAAGAAGAUACGGUACAGAUAUACAAUGGAAGAUUACUCAGCCAUAAAAACAAGAAUGAAAUAGUGCCAUUUGCAGCAACAGAAAUGGACCUAGAUAUUAUCACGCUAAGUAAAGUACGCCAGACAGAGAAAGACAAAUAUCAUAUGAUAUCACUUAUAUGUGGAAUUUAAGAAAAUGAUAAAGUACACUUAUUUACGAAACAGAAAUAGACCCAUGGACAUAGAAAACAAACUUACGGUUACCAAAAGGGAAAAGGGGGGGGAUAAAUUAGGAGUUUGGGACUAACAUAUACACGCUACUAUAUAUAAAAUUGAUAAACGACAAGGACCUACUGUACAGCACAGGGAACUCUAUUCAAUAUCUUGUAAUAAUCUAUAAUGGAAAAGAAUCUGAAAAGAAUAGAUGUAUACAUAUGUAUAGCUGCAUCACUUUUCUGUACACCUGAAACGAACCCAACAUUGUACACCGACUAUACGUCAAUAAAAAAAUAAAUAAAUAAAAUAGAUAUUGCUCUAAGUGACGACAAACGGCCAAGUUCUCCUCUGGGUAGAGACGUGACAGGAACACAGAGAGGCCUUGCCUUGGGGGUCUUACCUGAAUGGCGGUCAUCCCGAGCUCCUGGCCAAUCAGGACUUGUCCCCCUUGCAGCUUGGCAAUCCGGGGCUCCUCCACCUGCAUGAAGUCAUUUACCAGCUCCGUGAUGUCCACCUGCCAAUCGGAGCCCAGCAGGUGGGCCAGCUGCCCCCCGGGCUCAGCCACUUCGGCCACAAACUGAGUCAAGACCCGCACCAUGGCGUGCUGGUACUGGAGAGUGCAGCCCCGGCCUUUCUUCUCAUCUUCUUCCUCCUCCUCACUGUCCCGAGCUGGCCUGUCAAGGGGUCAGUUCGAUUGAACAGAUGCUGAUUGGUCGGGUCAACUGACCUCAAGGGGUCAGUUCGAUUGAACAGGUGCUGAUUGGUCGGGUCAACGGUUGGGGGCUGGGGGUGAAGCAUGGCAGGGGCUGCAGAGGUGAGUGGGCAUGAGGCCUGCCUUCGGGGAGUUCACAGCCUGGGCCGGGGGGGCGGUGCUCAGACACAUGUGCAGGGGUGAUGCUCAGAAGAUCGGAGCCCUGCUGUGGCCUGAGCGCUGACCAGUCAGAAUGGGCUGGUGUGGUCAGCAGAGUUCUAAGGUGUCCCCUAUGAGCCCCAUCUCCUGGUAUUCACUUUGUGAAAUCCCCUUCCCUUUGGGUGUGGCCUGGACCUAGUAAAAGUUUCUUCCAAUGAAAGAUUACAGCGGGACUUCCCUGGCGGUCCAGUGGUUAAGACUCUGCGCUUCCGAUGCAGGAGGCACGGGUUCAAUCCCUGGUCGGGGAACUAAGAUCCCACGUGCCGCACAGUGCGGCCAAAAAAAAAAAAAAAUUUACAGCAAAAGUUACGGGAUGUCACCUUCAAGAUCAGGUUUUAAGAAACUAUGACUUGUCGUGUUCAGCCCUCUUUCCUUUGUUCUUCUCUCUUUUUAAUUAAUCUUGCUUUCCUUUUCUAUUACUUGUAUACUUUCUUUUUUAAAAUUUUAUUUAUUAAUUUAUUUAUCUAUGGCUGUGUUGGCUCUUCAUUUCUGUGCGAGGGCUUUCUAUAGUUGCGGCGAGCGGGGGCCACCGCUCAUCGCGGUGCGCGGGCCUCUCACUAUCGCAGCCUCUCCCGUUGCGGAGCACAGGCUCCGGACGCGCAGGCUCAGUAGUUGUGGCUCACGGGGCCAGCUGCUCUGCGGCAUGUGGGAUCUUCCCAGACCAGGGCUCGAACCCGUGUCUCCUGCAUUGGCAGGCGGAUUCUCAACCACUGCGCCACCAGGGAAGCCCCAGGUUCUUCUCUCUUGCCUGCCCUGGUGAAGUCAGCUGCCGUGCUGUGUGCGGCCCUAUGGAGACACCUGACAGCUGGAAGCAGCACUCUCUGGCCAACAGCCAGUGAGGAGCUAAGGCCUCCCAGGAGCCACAUGGGCUUGGAUGUAGGUCCUUCCCCAGCAGAGCCUUGUGGUGAGACUCCAGCUCCGGCUGACAACCGGACUGUAGCUUGCGAGAGAUCCAGCUAAGCCUGGCCUGGAUGCCUGAUCCAGGGGAACUGUGAGAUGACAGGCUUUUCUUUUAAGCCACCGGGUUUUAGGGUAAGCCACUCAAUUAUGUAGCAAUAGAUAAUUAAUACAGUAAGGCUCUGGGUGACCAGUAUAGCCCUACAAACCAGUACACGAGGGAAGCGAGUGUUUAACUCAAGGGAAGGUAUUUUGUGAUAAUGAAUGUAGAGAGGGCCAGGCAGCAGGCAGAUGUUAGCUGCUCCCUCAACAUCUGAUGCCUUAUGUGCUGUCAGUCCUUCCCAGCACCCUCACGGUCUCCAUCAGAAGAGCUGCUCACUCCUCGAAGUGGUUCUCUUGCCGUAUCUGAGCUGGACAGUCGUGACAGCACCUGGACUGUUCACAAUCACACUCGGCCAGUCCUUGGUGAUUGGAUCAGGAAUGGACAUAUAACCCAAGUGAGGAUAACACUUAACUCCGGGAUUCUUGCAUGAGUUAUUGGGCAAAAGAGGAUGUACUCUCUGCACAGUCACGGAGAAGGUAGAGUGAAAGUGUGGAACCUCGUGAGAAAAGCCUGAUGGAUGACGAAGCCAACACAAAGCAAGCAGGAGCCAGGAGGUGGAGAGAGACCCAGUCCUUGGGGUACCAAUGGACCCCUGGAACCAGACACGCCUGAAAUCAGCUACCCUGUAAACUUCCGUCUUCAGCCUAAGCGCACUUGACUUGUUUCUGCUACGGCGCCUGACCUGCACACCCACCUCUUGCUGGAGACAAUGGGGACUCUCCAGCCCUUGAUCUGGUUGAGCUCGGUGUCCGAGACCUCGAUCUGCAGGGGCAGACGGGGCACCCACACCAUCAUCUCCAGAGGACUGGUCAGGUGCUGGUACGUGAAGUUCACCACCACGUUCACCUUGCCCUUCAUUUCCUUCCCGUUGACAAAAACGUAGUCACACCUGUCAGAAACCUAGGAAGAGGGGAGAGAAGGGUGGGCGACGUAUGAGUUUUUAUCACAUCCCAAAGCAAGAGCAAGAAAAAGCGGAGGAGGAAAGCAGUGUUGUGACUCUUUUGGGGUCACAAUCACGAGGAGCUGGUCCUAACGUGGACACUGGAUCUUGCUUUCCGAGACAGCAGAGGCUGUGACGACAGAUGCCACGGGGCCCACCCACCUCUCCUGGGAGCUCUUCGACUGGCUGGGUACACUCACCCCCACCUGCUGCAGGUGCUUUGCUGACAAUCUGUGCUGCACCUCCUCUGACAGACUGCCCUUAGGUGCUGGAGCCGAACCUGCAGAAUCACCUGGGUGCCCUGUACCGCUCAGCCCACCUUUAUGCCCGACGAUGACUUCCUGGUUUGCCUCAAGGAGGGACGAACCGUGUGUAUAGGUCAUGACCCGGAGCUCCUCUGGGGAUCGGCCGAGGCUCGAUUUCAUCUGAAACCAUCCGGCUCAGCUUGUCCCCUUUCUGCAUCCGGCCUCUCUCACUCCCAGACGGAUGUCUCCAGAGAACAUCCUCAGUGUCCUGUCCUACCCCCCACUCCCGCCUCCACGUCCUGGAAUCAGUCCCCAGACGCACCCGCCGCCCUCCAGUCCGUGGCCCAGGCUCUGCUUUCCAGAGAAUCCAGACACGUUAAUCCAGGCCCACGUUAGCUCAUUUCAUCCUCAGAACAACCCCGAGAUGAGCAUUCCCAUCAGUCCCCUAUUCCAGAGGAGGAGGCUGAGAGUUAAAGGAGCUUGACUGUGCUCCCGGGAUGCGGCCCUGGGGUCUGGCUGUGGAAUCCACGAUCUCAGCCUGUGCUGGUCUACCAGGCUGCUCCCCUCUGCCCACGUGUGACAGAAAAGCCAGGUUCAAAGAAAAGACCUUGUGCCCUUGUCUUUGUCUCCCCGCUCUCCAGGGGAGCUCGUGCUCAUCCUAAGCAAGACUUGGGGCAAAGCUCUGGGGUCGUGUGGUAGCAUGAAGACGGCCCCCAAAGAUACCAGGUUCUGAUCCUCGGAACCGGUACGUUACCUUAUUUGGCAAAAAGGACUUUGCGGGUGUGAUUAAGGGUCUGGAGAUGCACAGAUUACCCUAGAUUACCCAGGUGGGCCCUAAACGUAGUCCGAGUGCCUUUAUAGGAGAGGAACAGAGGGACAUUCGACCACCGUGACAGAGGAAGAACAUGUGUCACCGAAGCAAGAUGCUACAUGGCCGGCUUUGAGGAUGCAGGCCAGGGCCAAGGAAUCCAAGGAAGGCGUCUCUAGAAGCUGGAAGAGGCUGGGAAUCAUUCUCUCCUAGAGCCUCUGGGAGCAGUGUGGCCCUGCCGAUACCUUGUGAAGCUGAUGAAGGACUUCUGCCCCCAGAACUGUGAGAGAAUAAACGUGUGUGGUUUUCAAGUCACUUUUUUUUUUUUUUUUUUUGGCCACACUGCACAGCUUGUGGGAUCUUAGUUCCCUGACCAGGGAUCGAACCCGCGCCCCCUGCGGUGGAAGCGCAGAGUCCUGACCACUGGACCGCCAGGGAAGUCCCUAAUGUGUGUGGUUUUAAGCCACCGGGCUUGUGGUCAUUUGUCCCAGCAGGAGACGGCCACAGAGAGGGAGAGGAGGAUGGGCAGAGGCCACGCGGGCUCCUUCUCGGCUCUGGGGCUUGGCUGGUUGAGCUUGGAAGAAAGAUGGGCAGGAGCAAGGCCCCUGGUUUAUUGAGCACGUAAUACGUGCCCGGCCGAGCAGCUGAACACAUCCCAGGUGUGGUCCCAGUUAGUGGUCACGAGAACCCAGGACGUGGGUGCUGUUACUGUCAGUUCACGGGAGGUCAACCUGAGGUCCAAGACAUUAGGUACCAUUUCCCAAGGACGCACAGCUGGGAAGUGGCAAAGACCAGACUCAACCCAAGUCUGCCCCCAGCUGCCCCGCCUCCGGCACGGGCAUCGCUCUUGCCCGGAUGCGCUCUCGCCGUCUGUUGUUUUGUUCAUUUGUUUGUUUUUGUGGUACGCGGGCCUCUCACUGCUGUGGCCUCUCCCGUUGUGGAGCACAGGCUCCGGACGUGCUGGCUCAGCGGCCAUGGCUCACGGGCCCAGCCGCUCCACGGCAUGUGGGAUCUUCCCGGACCGGGGCACGAACCCGUGUCCCCUGCAUCGGCAGGUGGACUCUCAACCACUGCGCCACCAGGGAAGCCCGCAGUCUGUAGUUUUUUAAAGGAUGCGGGCCUUCCCUCCAGCACUUAGAGGGGCGUGAAGAAAAGCAAAGCAGAAAUCACUAGGUUGUUCAAACAUCUUAGAAAGGAUUGCUAGUGACGGCCCCUUUGAUCUUCCUGGUGAGGGGACAAGGGCACAGCACACACGUGGGGGCACUGGGAGGCUUGGCACCAGGGGAUGGUCAGUGACCCGGAGGGAAGCACGGGCCCGGGUCCAUUUCUGAGCUGGAGCUGGUGACCCUCCUGUAGCGGAAGUACUUAAAUCUGAUGAAAGGCAGAACGGAACCAGCCCACGGGGCUCUGCUGUAACUUGUGUCCUGGCCACGGCCCUUUCUUCUUCAGGGCUGGCGAGUCUUGAAUCUAGGCUUUUCUCUUUUUACGCCUUUCAAGUCUGAAUCAGGCUGAAUUGCCACAGGGCUUGAUCCCUAAGAGACAUCUUGGGACCUCCCUGGCGUUCCAGUGGUUAAGACUCUGCACUUCCAUUUCAGGGGGCACAGGUUCGAUCCCUGGUGGGGGAACUGUAAGACCUUACAUGCUGAGCAGAUAGGCCAACAAAGAAAAAUAAAAAAGGACCCGAGACAUCUUGGCCCCAGAUUCCAGCUCAGCAUCUGUUUCUGCAGAACUCACCUGUCUUAGUCAGCUCAGGCUGCUAUUAAAAAAUGACCAAAUGGGGUGGCUUAUAAGCAGCAGACAUUUAUUUCUGACAUUUCUGGGGGCUGGAAGGACAGGAUAACGGCUCCAUCAGAUUUGGUACCCGCUACCUGCUGCAGAGACGGAUGUCUUCCUUUUGUCCUCACAGGGUGGAAGGUGUGAGGGAGCUCUCUGGGUCUCUUUUAUAAAGGGCACUAAUCCCAAAGUGAGGGCUGCAUCCUCACCUAAUCACCUCUCAAAGGACCCACCUCCUGCCACCAUCACAUUGGGCACCAGGUUUCAACGUAUGGGUUCCAGAGGGACACAGACCCCUCAGUCUAUAGCACCACCUAUGACACGAGCUUCUUAGUAUGUCCUUUCCUCCAGGCAGCCCUCGAUUUGUCUUGUGUUAGUGGAGAAUGGUUCAUGUCAGCAGGUUCCUCACCUUGAAUGGUCAUGGACCAAGGUCAUGGUUCCGAUGGUUGAGUUUCUAUUAACAGGGUGCUACGCAAGAUAAGGACUGACUACAUUUCACUGUUAUUUGAAACCAUGUGGAAUAUUGCCAAAGAGGAAUAAAAUCUAACAAAGGCAGACUCCAAGAUCUUCUGCAGACCUACGAUAGUGGAUUGAAUCCCCCCAGAUUCCUGUCUACCCAGCACCUCAGAUUGUGACCUUACUUGGAAAUAGGGUCUUUGCACAUGGAAUUAGUUAAGAUGCGGUCAGACUCGAUUAGGGUGGAUUCUAAAUCCAAUGAGAGUGUCCCUGUAAGAGACAGAAAAGGACACACAGAGACUGAGGGAAGAAGGCCAGUGAUGACAGAGCCAGAGCUUGGAAGGAUGCGGCCACAGCCAGAGGAUGCCUGGAGCCCCCAGUAGCUGGAAGAGGCAGGAAGCCUCCUCCCCUAGAGCCCCCAGAAAGAGCACGGCCCUGCCCAUGCCCUGAUUUUGGGAUUCAGGCCUCCAGAACUGCGAGAGAGUGAAUGGAGUGACCCAGUUUGUGAUAAUUUGUUACGGCAGCUCCAGAAAACGAGCGGACCUCCCAGGCGAGACCUCCCAAUUAAGCCAGUGAACCUCCAUUUUGACGGACGCCACGGCUGCUUCUCAUGUACACUGACAGUUCAGAGCUACCGACAGGAGGACGUCCCACGCCCAGAGAAGGGGUCGUUCUAUUACCUUCUCAUUCCACAAAGAACGGGCUGAUCUGAGUAGCUUCUUCCAAAGAUGAAAUCCACCCGUCUGUUCGGAAAGGCUCUGGCUUUGAUUGCAUCUUCUAAGUUCCCUGGUGUUGGAAAGAUGGGACAGUCUCCUUAAUCAAGACUCUAGGAUGUGAUGCAAUCCAUGGACGAGUGGUUGGGUCUUGGACAUCUAGAAGGGUGAGGAUGGUGACGAAAAUCGGGCUCACCCACACCUGGGCAUCAUGGAACUCAAGAGAAUUGGCUGGAAAUCACUUACUAAAGAGAGAUUCCAUGGAUAAGUGAUGUCACAUGGUAUUUGUCUUUCUCUGCCUGACUCAGCCAUAAAAAAAGAUGGAAAUAAUGCCAUUUGCAGCACCAUGGAUGGACCUAGAGAUGAUCCUGCUAAGUGAGUGGCAUUCCAGAGCCAAUUAAAAAUCUUCGCACUCAGUCAUAAAAAAGAAUGAAAUAACGCCACGUACAGCAACGAGGAUGGACCUAGAGAUGAUCAUACUGAGUGAGUCAGACAGAGAAAGACAAAUACCAUGUGAUGUGACUUCUAUGUGGAAUCUAAAAAAAUGAUACCAAUGAACUUCUUUACAAAAUAGAAACAGAGUCACAGAAUAGAAAACAAAUGUAUGGUUAUCAAAGGGGAAAGAGGGGGCAGGGAUAAAUUAAGAGCUUGGGAUUAGCAGAUACAAACGACUCUGUAUAAAACAGAUAAACAACAAGGACCUAUUCAACAUCUUGUAAUAACCUAUAAUGGCAAAGAAUAUGCAAAAGAAUAGAUUUAUACGUCUGUACAGCUGAAUCACUUUUCUGUACACCUGAAACUAACACAACAUUGUAAAUCAACUCUGCUUCAAUUAAAAAAGAAUCUUUGGGUGGUUUUGAGACCUUGGGGACAUGGCUUUCUCUCUCUUGUCUCCAUUUCUUCAUUUUCCAGCAAGAUCUUGUUUGCAGUUUCUGGCCCCCAGACCUCUCCUCCAGCAGAGUUCCCGGAGCUCUUGAAUGUACGUAAGGAAGGGACAGACGUCAGAAGCGGCGAGAAAUGCUACAGUGGGUCUCUUCUAUCUUAGUUUAAUUAGCGUAGAUAAGAUCUCGUGUACACGAGCCCACUCAAGGCUGUAAGCAUCCCAUUCGUAUCUAAGGAAUUUGCCUAAUCGAAGAACAAAAAUACGACAGCACUACGGGAUGGUGGGUGAAUGGUAUGGGAAUAACUACAUGAAAUACGUACACAUUUGGCAGGAGUUUAUGUGAGGGAUUGAAUUAGCAUUCCGUGAAUUAACACAGGGUCCUACUUCAAUACAUUUUUCAAGAGUCUGAUCAAAUGAACUAGCACCGAGAGUUUUUUUCUAUCUUAGUAGCACUGAAAUUUUAAAUUUAACAAAGAGCUUUUCUCUUAUUAGCAUCAGGCAGUUACAAGAGAGGGCUAAGGUCUCCAUGAAAGGACGUGUCAUGAGCGCUAACACAUUGGGACACUGAGAUGCCAAGAGUCAUGAAGAGGAUAUCACAGCUGCGGUGAUUCGGGGUGUGGGACGCCCUGCAGUCGGAGAUGACAUCGGAGGGAUGCAGUCCCAACGAACUCAAUGGUUUCAGGGAAACAUUUAGAGGAAAAGCAUUUGGCGUCAAGGACCGACAGAAAUGCCCACGUCAAUCACAGAGGCCGAGAGAGAGGGACUCAUAACACGAACGAACACAUUUGCGUCCAGGCUGUCCUCUCACGCGAAAGGUACCAAAGCACACAUCUCCUUGAUUACGUUUUUGAUAUUUCUAAUCACUCACAUCGAAAGAGUGCUUCUUCUCCUCACCUUAGAGCUUUUAAAGAAAGACUAAGACUAAGCCUUGUGGAACAAGGCACAGACAAACCUUUCCCGCCCCCUCACGCCAAAUGCCUCACAGGCCCCAGAGCCAAACCACCCCGGAGCACCUGAGGCUAUAACUUCAUGACAGCGGCCGGGAUUCAACAACCAUCAGACGUGGGGAGACUUGCCCAGGGCCUGAGGCUUCCGGCAGGUCCGGAAGCUUUCCCAGGAGCCAAAUGUUUGUCCUUUACUCGUAUACAAAUGACAGCAAAUAAGCCAAAUGCCCCAGGAAGUCGACCAUUCAAGAGGAUGUAAACAAGCGACGCUCCAGGCACGUGCUAAAUACCGGGGCUUCUGAAAACGCUCCUAUCUUACCCUAGAGUUUUGGCCAGGCUGAAAGCAGAAGGCCACAGAAACACGCCCUCAAGCCAAGAAAGAAGCAACUAAUCCAACCACAGCAAAACAGAUCUUUGCUUAAUCGGCGUAUCUAAUUUUCUGAAUGAAGAUGUCUGGCUGAUCAAGAGGAAGGGUGAAGAUGACUGGCGUUCUGUGCCGGACACCUCCUGUGUCUUGUCUCGUACGCGCUCACCUGUGAUGGUUCCUCCUGCAGUCAGCAUCUGCAGGCGUAGCCCAGAAGAUUGUCUCCGACUGCCACGCUGACACCUGGAGGAACCUGUUCAUGGGGGUGACCAACCAUCCCGAGGUGCCCAGGAGGGAACUGCAUCCUAGGCUGUGGGACUUGCAGCACUCAAAGUGGGGCAGUCCUGGGCCAAUCAGGGCAGCUGGUCGCCUCCUGUUGGCCGCAGGGAUGCACGUGCACACUUGAAGCGCAAGGGCGCUAAGAGUCCUGGUCGCCCCUGGACCAGUGGGGGAUGGGAGCUGGUAGGCGAUUACUCCCCCUCGUGGUGUCCUGGGCAGAUGAUUCUCAGGUGCCCUCUGCACGCCUCCCGAGGGUCCUGAGCAGGACUGAGCCCUGUGGCCCACAGCUCUCUGGUGGCUUUCCUCCUUCCCUGCGUCACUCUCCCCAGUCCUCCAAGCCUGCUCCUUGGGAUAACACUGAAGUGAGGUGGACCCUCCAUCUCCACGUGCCCACGUGGCUCAGGACUCGCUGAGGAGAGCGUCUCAUUUCCUUGCAGUCUUCAGUUAGUUGAAGGUGCAACUGGCCGAUAAAAGUUCUAUCCACAGCAGUUGUUGGAGCUAUGGGAAUACAGGCAGGUAUGUAUUUCCUCCAGGGUUACUAAGGUGGGAGAAGAUAAACUGAGAGCUGUUGGAAACCAUAUUUGCCACCUAAUGGAAGAGGCUGCCUGAGAACAAACCCGGUACUUAGGGAAGCAGAGCCAAGAGAUGGAGAGAGACAGGUCCUCGGGACAUCUGUUGAGCUGCUGGAUCCGGCAGUACCUGAAGCUCAUAGGAUUUUAAAGUUAUAGGAACCAACACAGUAUUGUGUAUAUUAAAUUAGUCUGAGUUGGGUUUUGGUCACUUGCCAGAGAAAGAGUUCUGAAAACCCAAAUUACUAACAACAGAGCUACGUAUGACACUGCCCUUUCUCCAACCAGCCUUGAAACGUUUGUUCUCAUCAAGUACACAGACAGAGACAAGCAGCCUGGAACUCUAGCGGGGGCGUGGCUUGUUGCUCUCCCUCUGCCCACCUUGUGAUUCAGGACUGGCUCCGUUUCCUCCUCCUGACAACAGCUUUAGCUCAAGGUAAUCCUUUUCCCUGACACAGACAGGGGCUGAAAAUGAUUCAGAGCCUUUAUUCUUUGCCAGACACUGUUCCAAGGACCCUGUGCACAUUAUCUCACAGAGGCCAUGUGACCGACGUGUGAGAUAAUUUGUAUUAUUAUUCCCAUUUAAUAGUUAGAAAAGUGAAACUCCAAGAGGAUAGCUUGUCCGGUGGUAUUCAGUAAGUGACUGAUGGAGUCCUAUUUCAAGCCUAGGCCGCCCGCCUCCUAGCUUGGGUUCUUCACUGUUACACGAGGUACGGGAUUGUGUUCUUGGCCCUUACAAGGCAUAUUUCCAAGGACUGAGGGAGACUCUGGGCUCAGCAGGUCAGAAAAAGGUUGUCUGUGGUUAAUGGUCUGAUCUUUGAUGGUGGACAGACCAGCCCACUGUAACCACUCGUUAUGGGGUGACGUUGGGCACUUAAGCAAAGACCUAAAUGAUUCCUCUCAUGGCCAUUCCUUUGAUUAUCCCACUUCUUCUGGGAUAGACCUCAUCCCGCAAUUGGCACAGGUCUUGGCUGGACCCAUCACAGCACCUGGCUACAGUGACCUGUCCAAGGAUGUGCCCUCAACCCAAGCUGGACCAAUCAGAGUCCUGCCCUCAACCCAAGCUGGACCAAUCAGAGUCCUGCCCUCAACCCAAGCUGGACCAAUCAGAGUGCUGCCCUGGUAUUUUGCUUCAAAGGAAAGUCUAUGAAGAGGCAUUCUUUCAUCCUCUCUGGUCAUGGGUCUCCAUGAUGGAAGAAAUACAUGAAUUUCUCGGGACCGUGCUCCCACCGCCAUGGGGAAAGCUUGCUGGGGGUAAGAGGAAAUUAUGUGAACACAGGUAGGAAAGACCAGCCAGGAUGGAGAGAUCAGAGACUGAGGACAGUUCCUCGGUCUUUUCUGAUCGCUCACGAUCUCGACAGUUCAGGGAGUAUCAUUCAGUUAUUUGGGAAAAUGCCCCCUGAUUUGGAUGUGUCUGGUAUUUACUCAUGAUUCAACCGAGGUUAUGCAUUUUGGGGAACAGUGGUGUGCCCGUCUCGGGGGGACAUUAGCACCACUUCAAAACUCUAUUCGAAUUUGAAAAAGAAUAGAUACAUGUGUAUGUGUAACUGAGUCACUUUGCUGUACACCUGAAACUAACACAACAUUGUUAAUCAACUCUACUCCAAUAUAAAAGAAAAAUUAAAAAAGAAAGUUCUAUAGCUUCCAUGUAUAAGUUCUAAAUGAAAACCAAUCACCAUCAUCACCUUUUAUGAUUGCCAACCCUGUGCCAGGUACUGUGUGAAUUCCUUCAUAGUCACGAACUCAUUAACUCUCACGAAAAUCUGAUAUGAUAGGUACUAUCACUACCUCCAUUUACCAAGUUAGAAACUGCGGGUCGGGGAGACUAAGUAACCUGGUAGUAAGUGGUUAAGUUAGACCUUGAAUCCAAGUCUUAGUGACUGUAUGUCCCAUAUUAUAUUCACCCUUCCUCGAAUCCGAUAUUCACCCCUUUCUGCCCAUACAGUGUUCAGUGCUGCAAUGUGUCUACUUUCCUAAGUUCCCUUGAAGGUGCCUGGCUAUGUGAUACCUUUCGGAGAACAGGAAAUAAGCUAAAGUGUUCUGGGAAUGUUUGACUUUCCUGAUAUAGUUUGUACUCCUUUCGGUUUCAUUCUUUGUCCUGUUUGGAAUGUAGACCCGUGGCUGGAGGUGAGGCAGCCACCUUGCAACCAUGAGGCAACAGACCUGAGUAAGAAAACCAACCUGCUAAAGAUGGUGCCGCAAAACCAAAGAAAGAGGCUGGCUCCCUGUUAGCAUUGCUGAGCAGCUACAGCAGCUCUGGACUCCAACCUGUGGACUCCUUGUCACAAGUCCAAUCACAAAAAUAGAAUUUUGGUUUUGUGUACGUUGCUACUGUCAGAUCCUUGUUAUUUUUAGCGAUGUGGGAUCCUGACUGAUGCCCAAACACAAACACAGCUUCCUUCUGUUUGAGGCAUGCUAGUUUCUAAACUUUUUUUGUAAAAUUUUUAGUCAAAUUUGGGGGUCACCAAAGUCAAAUGGCUCCAGAGGGUAUAUGCCAUAAUAUAAAUAAUAAAUAACAUAAAGAAAUGAGUUAAAUGUGAACUAGAAAGCUCCCUCCCAGGCAGAAGAAGAGCAGCUGUUAGAUUAUCUCGCUGUUGCCUUGUGAAAGGGGCCAGCUACCAGUCGUUUCAUUCUCUAAGAGAAGCUAUAAAUCCCAUUCUAAUAUAACUUCUGACGCAACAGCUCCAGAUUUUAAAAUCUUGGCCACUAUUCUAAAGCUUUAAGGCCAAACACAAUGUGUGCAUUGGCUGCACGCGACCCAAGGACCUCGAACUGGCAACCUCUGACUUAGACGAAAAAGCUGUGGCAUCAUGAUAUUUAUUUACUUCAGGGAUAUAGGAGAAGAAGAGUGCUUCAAGAAAGCAGGCUGGAACUUUGUGAUCUUUGAACCAGCCAUAAAGACAAACAGCAGAAACACGCUGACAAAUAGAAUCUUCUCACAUGGCCACUGUUCGUCAACACAGAGGCUGGAAACCAUGAAAUACUGUGACGGGAAGCCCGUUCUUCCAGCCUCUGCUGUGUCUCUAACUGUAGCACCCACACCAAUGACCCCCACCUUCAUUCUGAUGACAAAUGGUUGCCCCCAGACUCAGCCUUGGACGCUGACUUUUGGAGUUGGAAACAGCAGCCCUGACUAUUUUAGUAAGAGCACACUAAAAUCCUCCCCUCACCCAAACACUUUUUUUUUUUUU